rnacentral:ncRNA from 1 species
AUAAUGAUACUUCCGUCCAGCCACAGUCCGAGCGGUAACCAUUCCGUCGCAGGCAAUGGGGGCGGCCGCGGGCGACCCCUGCGGUGGUAAAAACCAAUG